rnacentral:rRNA from 1 species
UACGUAGGGUGCGAGCGUUAAUCGGAAUUACUGGGCGUAAAGCGUGCGCAGGCGGUUCGUUAAGUUCGUUGUGAAAGCCCCGGGCUCAACCUGGGAACUGCAAUGGAAACUGGCGGGCUUGAGUGUGGCAGAGGGGGGUGGAAUUCCGCGUGUAGCAGUGAAAUGCGUAGAGAUGCGGAGGAACACCGAUGGCGAAGGCAGCCCCCUGGGCCAACACUGACGCUCAGGCACGAAAGCGUGGGGAGCAAACAGGG